rnacentral:ncRNA from 1 species
CAAAGGCUUGGUCCUAACCUUGCUGUCAGCUCUCGCUAAACUUACACAUGCAAGUAUCCGCACUCCCGUGAGAAUGCCCACAGUUUUCCGCCCGAAAACAAGGAGCUGGUAUCAGGCACAAUUAAAUUUAGCCCAUGACACCUUGCUUAGCCACACCCCCAAGGGAUUUCAGCAGUGAUAAACAUUAAGCCAUGAGUGAAAACUCGACUUAGUUAAAGCAAUAUAGAGCCGGUCAAACUCGUGCCAGCCACCGCGGUUAUACGAUGGGGCUCAAGUUGACAGACAUGCGGCGUAAAGAGUGGUUAAGGAAAUUUUUAAACUAAAGCCGAACGCCUACAGAACUGUUAUACGUUUAUGAAGGUAUGAAGCACAACCACGAAAGUGGCUUUACUCCCCCUGACCCCACGAAAGCUGUGAAACAAACCGGGAUUAGAUACCCCGCUAUGCUCAGCUAUAAACUCUGAUAGACUAUUACAUCCGCUAUCCGCCCGGGUACUACGAGCGUAAGCUUAAAACCCAAAGGACUUGGCGGUGCUUAACAUCCCCCUAGAGGAGCCUGUCCUAGAACCGAUAAUCCCCGUUCAACCUCACCCUCUCUUGUUCCUCCCGCCUAUAUACCGCCGUCGUCAGCUUGCCCUUUGAAGGUCCCAUAGCAAGCACAAUUGGUACUGCCCAGAACGUCAGGUCGAGGUGUAGCUAAUGAGAGGGGAAGAGAUGGGCUACAUUUCCUAAAUUAGGAAAUUUACGGAUAGUAAUUCUGAAAUGAAAACUAGAAGGAGGAUUUAGUAGUAAGUAGAAAGCAGAGCGUCCUACUGAACCCGGCCCUUAAGCGUGCACACACCGCCCGUCACUCUCCCCGAGCACAAGCAAUUUACAUAACUAAUUCACCACCCAGUGCGCCAGGGGAGGCAAGUCGUAACAUGGUAAGUGUACCGGAAGGUGCACUUGGAAAAU